UGAUUGACUGUUUGUUAUUGUUUUCGUCGAAGGGGUAGAUGCCGCGUGGAUCUUUUGAAGUAACUUAGUAAAAUUCUUUGUGGUAUUGUGAUUUCUAAGAGACGAAAAGCGGAAGGCAAAAUUGUUGGAGAGAAAACUGGAAACGUACGUCACUGAAGUCUAUAGCGACGAAAGUCGCUAAAAUCAGGAAGAGAAAUGCAGCAAAACUGGAGAUAGGCCUACCGUGGGAAAUUAGCAUUUGCAAAAUAAGAUGCAGAAAUAGCAGAAACACAUCACAAAUCCAGUACCACACCAGAACUACAGGAUUGUACAACCAAAUGUUCUCUGCCACCACCCUAUAUUUUUUGGGGUGGUUAAUUAGGAUAGGCCAUGGCAUAUACCGAAUAUCAUUAUUUUAUAUUUUACCAUCUAUUCCAGAUUAAUGUGUCUGUUUAUAUAUUAAUGUUAUAGCACUGUCAAUAGUAGUAUCACAGACGCAUUUUAAGAAAAUGAAACAGUUUACAUUCCACUGUGAAAACCCACUACAAUAUAAUGUUUAUUGAAGUGGAUGACACUUGUAUCUUUUGUGUUGGAGUUACUGUUGCAAUGAAUGUGAUUUUUGUUUAGUAUGACAUGUUACAAACAACUGCAGUAAAAUAAAUUUGUUUAUUGCAAAAGGA